rnacentral:rRNA from 1 species
AACGAACGCUGGCGGCAGGCUUAACACAUGCAAGUCGAACGCACCUUUCGGGUGGAUUGCAGACGGGUGAGUUACCCGUUGGAAAUCACCCUUUUUCUCCGGAAAGCCUCCGGGAACCGGAAAUAAUUACGUUAUCCGUCCGGAGGAAGAAGGUUUAAUCGGGAAGGGUGAGCCCGCGUUGGGUUUGCUUGUUGGUGGGGUAAAGGCCUACCAAGGCGACGAUCCAUUAGCUGGUCUAAGAGGAUGAUCAGCAACAUUGGGACGGAGACACGGACCAAACUCCUACGGGAGGCAGCAGUGGGGAAUAUUGGACAAUGGGCGCAAGCCUGAUCCAGCCAUGCCGCGUGAGUGAUGAAGGCCCUAGGGUUGUAAAGCUCUUUCAGUGGGGACGAUAAUGACGGUACCCACAGAAGAAGCCCCGGCUAACUUCGUGCCAGCCGCCGCGGUAACAC